UUUGGGGGAGGCCUAAACUUGCAAGUCGAACGGAAACAUGUCUAGCUUGCUAGAUGAUGUCGAGUGGCGGACGGGUGAGUAAUACUUAGGAACAUGCCCUUGGGUGGGGGAUAACUAUUGGAAACGAUAGCUAAUACCGCAUAACGUCUACGGACCAAAGGGGGGACCUUGCUCCUCUCGCCCAAAGAGUGGCCUAAGCGAGAUUAGCUUGUUGGUGAGGUAAAGGCUCACCAAGGCGACGAUCUCUAGCUGUUCUGAGAGGAAGAUCAGCCACACUGGGACUGAGACACGGCCCAGACUCCUACGGGAGGCAGCAGUGGGGAAUAUUGCACAAUGGAGGAAACUCUGAUGCAGCCAUGCCGCGUGUGUGAAGAAGGCCUUCGGGUUGUAAAGCACUUUCAGUUGUGAGGAAAGCUUGGUGGUUAAUACCCAUCAGGUAUGACGUUAGCAACAGAAGAAGGACCGGCUAACUCCGUGCCAGCAGCCGCGGUAAC
rnacentral:rRNA from 1 species